rnacentral:rRNA from 1 species
GUCUGGCAUAAUCCUGGGAAACUGGGAAUAAUUCCGGAUAGGUCACAGAUGCUGGAAUGCACUGUGGCCGAAAGCUCCGGCGCCUAAGGAUGGGUCUGCGGCCUAUCAGGUAGUAGUGGGUGUAGCGUACCUACUAGCCUACGACGGGUACGGGUUGUGAGAGCAAGAGCCCGGAGAUGGAUUCUGAGACACGAAUCCAGGCCCUACGGGGUGCAGCAGGCGCGAAAACUUUACAAUGCUGGCAACAGCGAUAAGGGAACCUCGAGUGCCAGGUUACAAAUCUGGCUGUCGAGAUGCCUAAAAAGCAUUUCAUAGCAAGGGCCGGGCAAGACCGGUGCCAGCCGCCGCGGUAACACCGGCGGCUCGAGUGGUAACCGUUAUUAUUGGGUCUAAAGGGUCUGUAGCCGGCCGGAUAAGUCUCUUGAGAAAUCUGGCAGCUUAACUGUCAGGCUUUCAGGAGAUACUGUCUGGCUCGAGGCCGGGAGAGGUGAGAGGUACUUCAGGGGUAGGGGUGAAAUCUUGUAAUCCUUGAAGGACCACCAGUGGCGAAGGCGUCUCACCAGAACGGACCUGACGGCAAGGGACGAAAGCUAGGGGCACGAACCGGAUUAGAUACCCGGGUAGUCCUAGCCGUAAACGAUACUCGCUAGGUGUCGGCCACGGUGCGACCGUUGUCGGUGCCGUAGGGAAGCCGUGAAGCGGGCCACCUGGGAAGUACGCC